UCUGACUAGCCCAGGCUUAAGUAAAGGUC
rnacentral:piRNA from 1 species